GCCCAGCUGGCUCAGUCAGUAUAGCACAAGACUCUUGAUCUCACAGUGGUGAGUUCAAGUCCCACACUGGGCA
rnacentral:tRNA from 1 species